rnacentral:misc_RNA from 1 species
GAUGAAGAACGCAGCGAAAUGCGAUACGUAAUGUGAAUUGCAGAAUUCAGUGAAUCAUCGAAUCUUUGAACGCAUAUUGCGCUCUCUGGUAUUCCGGAGAGCAUGCUUGUUUGAGUAUCAGUAAACACCUCAACUUCCAUAUCUUUUUUGAAAUGGGAGUUGGACUUGAGUGAUCCCAACGCUUUUCCUCACCGAAAAGUGGCGGGUUACUUGAAAUGCAGGUGCAGCUGGACUUUUCUCUGAGCUAUAAGCAUAUCUAUUUAGUCUGCCUAAAACACAGAUUAUUACCUUUGCUGCAGCUAACAUAAAGGAGAUUAGUUCUUGUGCUGACUGAUGCAGGAUUCACAAAGACAGGCUUCGGCCGACUUUGUAAACUCGAUCUCAAAUCAAGUAAGACUACCCGCUGAACUGAAGCAUAUCAAUACGCGGAGGA